rnacentral:lncRNA from 1 species
UGAUCAUCUCCACUUCAUGUGCUGGCUUACAGCUGAAGCUGAACUUGUAGUUUUAUGACUUCUAGGUAGCACCGUCCGUAAGAUAAACGUCGGCCUGACCGGCGUUUCGCUCAUUUCCAUGUUCCUUAAUGAGCGUCUGUAUCAACUAUCCUAUCAUCUGUAUUUUCUCCCGCUAGGAUCGGAAAUCUUAUAUUUUCUAUAUCCAUAUACCGUUGAAUCCUUGGGGUUCCAGAAUCCGCCUAUUUUACUAGUCUUCGGAAACGAAAAACCCUGAACCAAGAAGAGUUGGAUAUGUUAUGUAGGGUAUUUUCUUUCAGUUCAUGUUCUAGUAUUUUCCGUUUCUCUGUAUUUUCUUUCAGUUCAUGUUCUAGUAUGAUGUAUCGUCAACCUAAUAAAUACUACUUUGUCAUCGUGAGUACCUUCUUGGAUACAUAUCAGCAGCUUGCAUCAUCGUACUACUCCAUCACUUGAUCACAAGGUCCCAACUCCGGAGUUCUUUUUUUUUUUUUGGAUAAGGAGAGCUUCCUCACCGAUUUUCAUUAGCAGAAACCACAGUAUCUUGUUAUACAAACUACUAAGGGCAAGCAGAAAUACUAGGAAACGACAACACAUGAUCUCAAGGAGCAAAAUUGUUAGAAUAGUCCGAGGCCACCGUUGAUCUAGCGAAGACCAAGCAAUCACAUAAGUACGAUACCGAGAUUUGUUAAUGAGGUUCAUCAAUAUGGCUACAUUUCCGGAGCGUGACUACGGGCGCUCCUUCCCAUGACACCGCUACAAUACCGCACCUCCGGUCGCCCGGGUGCCGGCACACGCCGCCGGCUCCCCCGCGUGCCCGUGCUAUUAUGUUGGCAUAGGUUAUAUCGUGUGUCUACCUCCGAUAUAUAUGAGAGGCCUAGGAUACAGGUGUCCUAUUAGGACAGAACUCCUACCCUGUCUAUAGACAGUCCAAAACCAAGUCCAACUGUAACCUACCUUGUACAAUAAUAUUCGACACAACUCUAACAUACUUCACCUUGACGAAUAUUCUCCACCACCUUGAAUUCGUCCGUGCGUCGAACCUCCAUGUACAUUGGACUUGAGAUACGCCAUGAGCACCGCUGCUACUCCCAGACAUCACAUGACUCCACCUGCAACUGUAGUCCCUUCUCGUCUCCUUCACAGUCAACACUCGAGCAAAAAUUAAGUUGCUCAUUACUCUACUUUAUGCUUCCAAUUUCCGGAGAAUCCGUUCAACGCCAUCACACACCGACCACUGUCUGCAUAAAAAUGAACAGCUCAUAUAUUGGACGCCACAUAUAAGAGUUACCUGAACUCAACGUCGCCGCUCUUUCUUGACCGUAUGUCUAAAACUUGAAGGAAUUUCACCGUCACCAUGUGUCACCUGAGUCAAAUUCGCAGUUGUCUCACCCUUUUUUCCCGGAUAGUCUCUGGCAUGUCCCACAGCCAUAGCACUCCGCCUCCUUUUGCCUUGUCAUUCACACUUUGCCAUGUGCACUGAAAACAACAGAAUAUACGGCCAUGUACUCUCCCAGCUUUUGACAAUUUCAGACUCUCCGCCACUUUCUCAGAUUCUUCAUGGUCAACUCUUGUCCAUCUUCUAGCACCGAUAGACCCAGUCACCAACUUGAAUCCAGUAUUCGUCAACACUGCUUCAGCACCCCUGCACAAUUUGUAUGAUCACAUGUCUGACCACCAGUGCCUUGGCUUGUCACUGUGUCCCGUGCUUACCGCACGCCUCGUCGCUAUCACCGCGUCGAGCCUCUGCUGUCCUGGUCGAGUCUCCCGGGUAGCUAGCCCACACUGCCUCAACCCCCACUGCAGAGAACCAUCGAUCAUCACCGACCGAUGCCGAGUAUCACGUCUCCAUCAGACCAUUGGGCUCCAGUACGAUCCACGUGUCUCUCGCUAUCCCGCUGAAAUAGGCUGCGAUUCUCCGUGCACUUACGCCGUAGCCCCUCCAUCAGCACAGAGUGAAGUCGUCCAUCAGACUCUAGCUCCACCUUCAACAUGACUCCAUGUAGCUGGCCAUGCUACCCUCGCGCCCUGUCGACUUCAAUCUCUCUUGUGUGCACCGUCUUAAAUCAACCCCGCGCCAUAGUCUGUCGAAGCCGCAUAAGCCCUCAGGCCGGCACCACGUGUUUCCACGCCCCAGAAGUCGGCCACCAUCGGCAUCAUGCUCCUAUGUCGUCGUCACCGAAAUCACCGCCGUCUUCUGCUUUGACUGACAUCCCCGUCGAUCCGUCAGACUGCCCAGUCCGACCCAGCCGAAAUUAUCCGACUGCAAUCAUGAGCCACCCUGCAUCAUGUAUGGCCGCACAUCUCUAUGCAUUGCUUGACGCCAUGUGUUUGCAUGAUCCUGUCACGGCGCACUCCAAGCUCCUCCAAGCCUUAUGCGCGUGCUGCUGUCCUUAACGUACACGCACCAAGCACUCUUAGCAAACAUGACCCACAAGAGAAAUUUACAUGCAAACCUGACCAAGUGAUCCCUCCGCACAAUUCCUUCUCUUGUCUUGGUCCAGUAAUAGCUCCUCCAUGCACGCACAACAACUGCACCUUUUUUUCUCAAACAAAUCUCACGGUAUCCUUGGCUUUGCACAUUCUGCAGCUUCCUGCAUGCACUCAUCUACAGCUUCCUGCACAGCAUGCCACGCACGCCGGCCUCAACAGCUGUCACAGCCGCGCGCGCCGUGGCCUAUUCCGCCGCUCGCCUUGCAUCCUGCGCAGCCGCACCAGCCACCAACUUGGGCCGCCUUAGCCACACGCCUGCAGGCCCCUCCUGGACCUUAGCGUGCCUUGCACAAGCCAGCCCUGCCUGGCAACUUGCCGAUGCCACUCGUCGCCACGGGAUUCCUGCCACUGCACGGCUGAUCCGCGUGUACCACGCGCCGACCAAUUCAAUCGAACCGAUCGCCGAGUCCUCUCGAACAUGCCGCCGCCGCUUCAAUCAACUGAACCGAUCUAGCCGCCCGCUUAUGCAACUCACCAAUGCAUGCUGCCUGAUGCUUAUCCCGAUCUCGUCGAUAGCGCACCCAACGACCACCGCGAAACAUCACUUCCUCACAUCGUCUUUGUACCGAAACUUGACGACGAUUCAUCCUCUAGAUUAACAAUUCGUGAUCUCCUUGAACCUUGCUCAUGAUACCACUUGUUAGAAUAAUCCGAAGCCACCGUUGAUCUACCAAAGACCAAGCAAUCACACAAGCACGACACCGAGAUUUGUUAAUGAGGUUCAUCGAUAUGCCUACAUCCCGGAACAUGACUACGGACGCUCCUCCUCAUGACACCGCUACAAUACCGCACCUCCGGCCGCCUGGGUGCUGGCACACGCCGCCGGCUCCCCCGCGUGCCCGUGCUAUUAUGUUGGCAUAGAUUAUAUCGUGUGUCUACCCCCGAUAUAUAUAUGAGAGGCCUACACAACUCCUAUCAUGUCUACAGGCAGUCCAAAACCACAACUCUAACAAAAAUGAGAAAUACCCAUCAGCCCCCAAAGAUCACAAAGACUAUAUCAGAAAGAACACCGAUAUCCUACUGCCCACCAUACUCUGGAGUUGUUCUGGUAAAAGAAAAUGACUAAAGUUUUGGAAUUCUUUUCUACUGGCAUGUAUAUUUAAUUUGAGGCGAGCUGGUAUGUCUACAUAUAGGAUAUAUCAAAGCGUUGUCAAGGUGAUCAAACAAAUAAUAAUAUCCCAACAGCAUCAAACGAGCAGUAAAGAUGUAGGGCUUAUGUGCACAUAUCCAAAACCAUGAAAAUAAGGGAAACUCCAUGAUACAGGUUCUAUGAAAUUUACGACGUGUUUUCACAACCUUUCAUGUUCUUCAAUUGUGUAUUUUGAGUCAUUGAACCGAGCGGUGUAGCAACCCAGGUCCGUUUGAUUAGACAUCCAUUGAUCAGAAUAGAAUUCGAGCGGCGCUGGGGGCGGAGUUGGUGACGAAGUUUAAUCCCAAGGUAGACGAUUGGUAAAAUGAAUAAUAGUCAAACUUUAAAAGGUAGGAGUAUGUAUAUAGAAAAAUUAAGAGAUAUUUGGUGAGUAUCGAAGUAUUUUUUUAUGCGAAUAAAAUACUUGCCCCUUUAAAUGAAAAUGGUAGUGGCAGGAUUUUUUUUUUGUCUUCUCAAUUGUUUCUCACUCCCUCUAUAUCUCUCCUUAUCUCUCAUUUUUACUUCUCCUCCACCUAUCCUUCAGAAUUCGUACAAAGUUCCUAUAAACCAAAAGAGGGCAAGAGCCUAAAGCAUGGUUUAAGAUCCAUAAAAUUUGAAAGGGGAAGGGGUUAGCAAAGCAAACCUUUGUAUUGCAAUACAUGCAGGAAUAGGGUCAUUAUCCGGAGGAGUCCCAACCUAUCAAAAUCCCUUGUCCAAAGAACCAAUAUUUUUUGUGGACUUUGAAAAUCAUAAACCUUUAGAUACUGUUGCACUGACGCAAAGCUUUUGCAUCAAUCUCAAAAGUCUAGAACGGAGGGUGACCCCCACCCCCACACGUCCUGGGAAGGUUUUAGACCUUCCUUGAUCGGGUUUUCAGUGUUUUCUCCUGCCGAUUUUGUUUACUUUAUUUUUAUUUUUAUUUUGUUUUUCUCCUUUCUCCCAUUUUUAAAUUCAUUAAUAUUUUUGAAAAAUCAUAAAUAGUUUGGGAAACACAUUGAACAUUUUUUAAAUUCGAGAACUUUUGUCAAAUCGGUAGACAUUUUUAAGAUUUCUGGAUACUUUUUAAAAUUGUGUAACUUUUUUUAAUUGAGGAACAUUUUAAAAUUCACCCGACAUUUUUUCAAUCCGCAAAACAAUUAAAUUGAUGAGCAUUUCUUUCUUUCAAAGACCUUUCCAAAUUUGUGGAUAUUUUUAUUAUGGUCGACGUGCGGCCACAAUUUGGCGACACCAUUGUUGGUCAUUUGCCUGCCACAAGCUCCAAGGCGAAGUCCUUGGGCGUCGCCCUAACUGUCCCUUUCGAGCCCAGAUCAGGCCCAAACAACUUGCGCUUCCCGUGACAUCCACCACACGGCCACCACAACGUGUCACCGUGCGGUAGCACAAGUGCCUCUAACGCACACUCAGGUAGGCCAGAUCUAGGCCCGAGGCGCGGCAGAGUGCGGUGGUGGAGAUGGUGGUCCUAGUUGGCGUGCUCGCUGGGAUGGUAGCCACUAUAGGAUGGUGGAGGUGGUGUCGUGUUGCGGUUGUGCAUGUUGGCAGGUUGCGAGUGGCCGUGCGGAGGGUUUGGGCCCCAACGCCUAGAUCUGCAGUUGGUUGCGGCUUCAUCGGGUGCGUGGGUGGGGCAAGGGGUAGAUGAUGACGAUGCUCACAAGCAUUUGCUUCCUUCUUGAAGGCGGUAUUGAGGCGGCAUGCUCACUCAACUCCAAAGAAACCUCAUAUCCUCUAGGGUAUAAGAUGAUGACGACGUUGGUGUGUAAUCCUCUUGGGGCAUCGUCUUAGGAGUGGCUACCGGUUGGAGGGAGAAGUGGUAGACGAUGGUCGAUGUUGAUAGUGUUUAUCGAGUGGUUGGUAGGUAUGUUGUUUUCAUUUGAAGCGGGUUAGCGAGUGUGGUCCUUCUUGGAUUACCUCGUUUCCAUACAACACAACUCUCUAUCUUUGAGGGAUUGUUGUAGGGUGGCAACCAAACAUCCAACACCUAAAGGUGUACGCCUUUCUUAGUUAGAUGAUGAUGGAAGAUGAAAACCUUCUUCUUCCCCUUGUUGAGUCUGUUAUCCUUGAUUCCAAGUUCUUAAUCUUCUAGGGUGUGGUGUUUUACUAGUGUUGAUGUGGCAUUGUUAUGGUGGCGUUAUGUGUUUGUGUGAUCGGUCUAGACUUUGUAGUGUGUUGUGUUCUUCUUCAUCAUGAAUGACAUGCAACGGCGUUGCUUUUCGUCAAAAAAUUGUUCUUGCUAGGCCUAACCACAUCUUUUGAAAUUAUAUUGACACACACCACUACAAGCUAAGGAUGCGCUCCUAGAUUCUCUUGAUGUAGUCAAGAGUUAGAGCAUCUACAAUCAGACCUCUCAAACUAUCCCCAAAUGUUCGGUCACAUCCCGCUCAGUGCCCUGACAUGAGAGAGAAUGGAAAAGGCACCCAAAAGGACCCCUCACUUUGUCCUUAUAUGUUCGAGUUGCCCGCAAAUACCAUAUGGGGAUGUCUGGGCGUGUCCGGGCAAUCCGCCAUAUAGAAUUUGGCCCACCAUAGUUCACCUUUUCUCUUUCUUCAUUCUUUCUUUCUUUUCUCCCUCUUCCUCUCCACAAAUUGACCGAGCAUAUGGAGAAAAGGUGGGAGACAUGACUGUGUGCAUGAACAAAUAGGGACUCAAAGCGAACAUGUCCAGACAUUAACCAGACACAUCUGCGGACGUUUGAGGGACCAAAUUUGCCCAUUUGUAAAUCCCCUUACAACUCACGAAGUAUCAAAGGUGCACCACCAUCUAGGAAGAAAGUAUCAAGGUGCAUAGAUGCAAAGUUAUGGGUCACGCCAACCGGAGGAGUGGUGCUAGAUAUGUCUGAUUGUGGUAUCUAUGUGAAGCUCACAAAUUUCGAUUUUGCAUCCUUGAAGAUAAUGUACCGAAUUUUUGGUCGUGAUAAAAAUAAUUAGUGCAUCAGUCAGUUUCUUUCAAAAUUGAUCUCUUUUAUGAUGUUGCGGAAAAAGGUUUCUUUUAUGGUGUAUACAUAAUUCUCACAUGGAUUUUUCACUCCCGAGUUCAAAUACACAUGCAUGCACAAUAAAAUUUGAAGAACAGAAAACAGACAACAAUCUAAUUACUUAUUUAUUGUUAAUAACAUACUCCCUCCGUUCCAAAAUUCUUGUCUUAGAUUUGUCUAGAUACGAAUGUAUGUUGGGACGGAGGAAGUACAUCACUAACAAUCUGUAAAAUUUCACCUAGAAUAGACAUACAUAGAAGUUUGUAAAAAACAAAAUUCUUGACUCAAAAAGACACAUUUGGAGCACUCAUUUUUUUUUUUGGCAUGGACCACUAUGGAUGGAUUUUCACGGGGAACUGCAGGAUGUUAAAACACUUGUUGACGUUCAUCCACAAAAAAAGUAUUAUGUGGGGGAAUGAGUAGAACCUUUUUUGUUUUUUUAAUUAUUGUAUAUGUGGGGGAAUUUGUGCUCAUGAUUAGAGUAACCCUCCUUUCUCACGCGCCAGCUGGGCCCCGUGCUCCCGUACACCAAAAUGGCAUCUACUGGUAGUAUAUUAGGAGUAGGUUUUGGUGCCGUAGUGCCGACAAUCCGUUGAAUCAACCGAGCACAUCACUCAAACAGAUCAAAAACGACACAAAGCAUGCACGUCUCCUCUCACUCACUGUCUCGAGAGUCACUCGCAAGCUUGGAUCAUUUCUCGUCUCGUCUCGCCUCACGAUCACAUCACACGGCUUCUUUUUCUCCGUUUCUCGAGCUCUCGGGGUCUCACGGUGACUCGGGAGUUUGGGUUGUUUCCAGCAUGUAGUACUCCCUAUGUGGAGAUGACCUUGGCGUAGCCAACUGUUACGAGGGACUGACUGAUCGAGCACGCAUUCCAAAGUUGCAGCACGUCAGCACGGAAAAACGAAGCCAUCCGCCCACCCGUGACGCAUCGAUCUCGGCGCCAGGAUCGAGGAGGGAAGCAGCGAUUGCACGUCUAAACCUUUUUUUUUAGAAUCAUUGCACGUCUGAACCUAGCUACUCGCUGCUACGACCCCUUCGCGUCGUCGUCUUCUCCGAUGACGUGCCGCCCGGCCUGGACGCGUGCGGCGGCGAGAAGCUGAGAUGGAAUCAUGUAUACAGAGGAAGCACGUACGCCCUAUGUAGAAGAGAGGAUUGCUGUCGAGCAUGCGCGCCGGCAGCUCCAUGUUGCCGUCGACUCAAUGACCAGACGCAGCAGGACGGGAACCAAUCAAGCAAGGUGUGUUUUGUCGUCUCAUCUGCUGCAGAGCAUGCCCGGCUCAGCGAGCUACACGGUGACGGCUGGUGGCACAAGGGCGCGUUUCGUUACUUGCAUCGUUUUUUGUCACUUUACGUACUUGUCUCAGUUGGGUCUGAUUGAACAUAUGCAGACAAAAAAUCAACAUAUGCAUGUUGAUUGGUUGCCUGCAUACCCUCUUCCUGCAUCAUAGCAACUCCUCUACGCGUUGUGUUUGGUUGCUCAUAUUGAUUGUGCUCAUACUAGUGCGCGUUGUUUGGUUACAUACACUGGAUAUGAUUAAAAGUUAACAACUACACAUAACACACAGUGUUACACUAGAGGUGCCUCGGCGACAGAGGUGGGCGGCGGUCGCGGCGCCACCCGACACGAUGAGCACGGAGUCGCGGGCGAGCAAUCCCAUCGGAGGUGCAAUGAACUAGUUGCUAGCACCGCCGCCGCCGAGAAAGUCAGUGUGGAGUAAAGAAUAGGAGGACAUUGAUGCAGAGGAUGAUGGAGAAAAAAUGCAGUGUGCGUGCCAUGGUGGCCUCUGUGUAGUAGGACGCGAAAGAGGAGGCCGAAAAGAACGACAAUGACGACGGCGCCAGUGUAGUAGGAUGUGAGCGAGGAGGCCGAGAGGAACGACGUCGGUGAUAGCUUCAGUGUACCAGGACAUCGGAAUGGAGACCGAGAGGAACGACGACCGCACGAGUGUAGUAGGACAUGGGAGAGGUGGUUGAGAGAAACGCCGCCGAUGGCACUAGUGCAACAACACGCAAGAGAGAGCGGCGAUGGCGGCGACGCCAGUGUAGUAAGACACGAGCGAGGAGGCCAAGAGGAAUGAUGCCGACGAUGGCUUCAGUGUAGCAGGACAUGGGAGAGAAUGUAGAGAGAAACGAUGUCGGCGGUGCCGCUAGUGCAACAGCACGCGAGAGAGGUGGUCGAGAGGAGCGACACGGUGGUAACACGUGUGUAGCAAGACAGUAGAGAGGAGACUGAGAUUAAGGAGUGUCAUUAACACUAUACAUAUGUGUAUAUACUUUUCACGAGGAAGAAGUUGGGUCUAAUUGUCUAUGGUCAUUGAAAUAGAAAACGUGAAACACGUAAGUCGUGUGAAACUAUAAGAUAAACUACUUGUCAAAGGAAAUUUCAAACGGUCGACCGUGCGCGAUAAAUUUAAAAAAAUUCAUCCAAAAUAGCUCCAGACAAGAACAAGAAAUUGAAUAUUAACGGUUGACGAAACUUUGAACUGAUCGCAAAAAUGAAACCAUAGCAUUGAUAUGCAUUUUAUUCAAGUAGAGCUUAUCUCGAUUUGAUGCAUCAUUGUGUAGACUAGAAAGGACUAAUAAGUGAACAAGGUUGGGAGUUAAACCAACAAACCACCUGCAAACUCACCUGUGCAUGAGAACGAACGAGGCUGCAUCCAUAGAGCCACCCACGUGCGCUAGCCUGCAUCGCUCGAAAAACGGCCAAAUCUAGCGUUAUGAGGGAUGUAUGUUCAGAGAUGCUUUAAAGUCCGUGCUAUACAGGCCCAAAGCAAUCAAAUGGGCCAAAUACUUCCCGCGCAGGCUUGAUUGAACUUAAUACAGGUAACCAAACGCAUUCUAAAUAAUCAGCUCUGGCGUGGCCGUGCGUGGAGUGGAGGGGUGAGCACGUAAGAUAAGAUUCCUUGCAGUAUCAAUAUCAUCGGGUAACCAAAAAAUUGCAUCAUCAACAUAACAUCAAAAACACCAUCCAAAAACCCCUUUAACUAUUCCAUGGUAUUUAGUGUUGUCCAUAAUCAAGGUCAGAGCAUCAACAAUCAAGUAAAAAAGCAGAGCUGACAGAGAAUCCCCCUAUCUUAAAACCUUAUGGGUUAGAAAAUAUGGACCAACAAAGUCAUUUACUUUGAUCCCAACAUAAACCCUUCUCAUAGUGCUCAUGACCCAGUCACACCAUAAAUCGGGGAAUCAUUUUAGAGAAAGCAUUUUAUAAAUGAAAGGCCAUUUUAUUUUAUCAUAUGUUUUUAUCAAAGUCAACUUUGAAAAGCAAUGCACUCAUUUUCUCCUUAUGUAUAGAGUUAAGGACUUCAUGAAAGAUAAUCACCCCCUCCAUUAUGUAUAUGUCUUUGAUAAAGGCAGUUUGAACAUAAAUUUGCAGGGGCACACAUCUGCCCAGCCAUGCUGGCCGCUCGAUUGCCUCGCAAUUCACAAAGUCGUUGGAUCCCGCACGAGAGCAUGGUAAGUUCUAAGUUUUUUUUCUUUUUGCCGGUCGCAGGUUAUGCAAUUACGAUUUUAUCGCUCGCUCAUACCAAGUUCUAGAAGAUGAAACAUUUUUGUCGGCCAGAGGUUUUAAAACUUUUGAUUUCGUCGGUCGCUUGUACCAAGUUUCAGAAGUUGAAAUUUGACAAAAUUUAAAAAUUCAUCAAAAGCUAUUCAAAAUGGCUCUUGUUUGAAAGCCCCCGUCAUCAGAAACACAAAUACGUAAACGAAAUUUACUUUAGAUUUUUGGUUCAAAAGAUAUGAAGAUUGAAAGUCAAAAACCAAAGAAAAAGGAGGCUACAAAUCCAGUUGAACAGGGAAAAUAACAGGAUUGACUACAGUUUUCAGUCCAUGCAUCAGAAUCUUAGGCUGUGUUCGGGAAUACUCCGCUCCUUCCCCAGGGAGCGGAGCAGGCGGAGCACCCAUUUGGCAGCUCGCCAAAAUUCCACAGGAUGCUGCUUCGCUCCGCAGCAGAGUUACGGAGCGGAGAGAUUCCAAACGGUCUCUUAGUGGAAGUUUUAAAGCUAACAUUCAAAAAACAAAUAGCCCUGAACUUCUAACUCCAUUCAGCAUCCAUGGUUUUAUGGAUCAAGAUUAAAUAUCUGGGAAUACCGAUUCAUUAUCGGUGUCUCACCAUUGCGGAGUGGAAGCAUGUAGAGGAACGGCUAGAGAAACGUUUGAGCAAUUGGAAAGGCAAAUUGCUCUCAGUUGGAGGACGGCUGAUUUUGAUUAACUCUGUCCUCAUAAAUAUGGCUCUUUAUAUCCUCUCUUUCUUCCAACUCCCAAAAGGGGUCCUGCAAAGACUGGACUAUUUUAGAUCCAGAUUCUUGUGACAAGGAAAUGGUGAAAAGAAAAAAUACAGGUUGGCCAAAUGGAGUGUGGUUUGUAUGCCAAAAGACCAAGGUGGCCUUGGAAUUCAUGACCUGGAAGUCAAGAAUGAGUCCCUACUUAAUAAGUGGUUGUUUAAACUUCUUACUGAGGAUGGUGUUUGGCAAACCAUGUUGCGCAACAAGUAUCUAGGCCAAAAGGUGGUGUCUCAGGCAUAUUAGAAACCUGGUGACUCGCACUUUUGGGCUGGUCUAAUGACAGCAAAGAAACAUCUCUUUCGCUUUGGGUCUUUCGCGAUAAAAGACCGGUCGGAGAUUCGUUUCUGGGAAGACAUCUGGCUAGGCAAUGCCAGUCUCCGAGAACAAUAUCCAGCCUUGUACAACAUCGCUCGCAAUAAGAAUAAAACUAUUGCGCAGGUGCUCAGUUCAUUCCCGCCCAAUAUUUCGUUUAGGCGGGAUUUGAUUAGCCCCCGUCUUACGUCAGGGCAUAAUCUUUUAUCCCGUUUGGAUUUGAUCAAUUUGACACAAGGUCGGAAUGUGUUUUGCUGGAACCUUACUACAUCGGUGUCACAGUAGACUCUAUGUACCGUGUGCUCACGCAUUCUGAGGUACCAGUGAGUAAUAACAAGAAAAUCUAAAAGUCAAAGAUUCCACUAAAAGUUAAAAUCUUCAUGUGGUAUCUUCGUAGGGGAGUUGUUCUAACAAAGACAACCUCGCACGGCGUAACUGGCCAGGGAGUAAGAAGUGUUGUUUUUGCAUUCAUGAAGAGACAAUCAAAUACCACUUUUUCCAAUGCAAGUUUGCACGUUCUACGUGGUCAGUCAUCCAAAUAGCGUUAAAUUUGUAUCCGCCCACAAGUGUCGCCAAUAUUUUUGGUCAUUGAUUGGAUGGUAUUCCAAAUAGGUUGAAAAUGCUAAUAAGGGUGGGAGCGUAUGCCUUGCUAUGGUCGCUUUGGCUCUGUAGAAAUGAUUUAGUUUUCAAUAACAAAAAUGCUUCUCCUUUGCAAGUUAUUUUCCGUUGUACGCACUCGCUUCAUACGUGGUCUACGCUACAACGAGUGGAGUACCAACCGAUGUUCAAGGCGGUGUGUACACGGUUGGAGCAGGUGGCUACGGAGGUUUUUACCCAACAUGGGUGGCAGCAUAAUCUCCGGAUCGGUCCACCACCCUUUUCGACAUAAGCGUAGUGUCAGUCUAUAUGACUCUAUUGUCGCCCAUUUGUCGUUUUCUUUUUUUCUUUUUAUCAGACUUUAGGUGAUUGGUUGUGUGCAUCUUAGUUAUACAGAGGCCGGGUGUUACUCAUAAUGCUUUGUAUCUUUCUGAUGCUAUUUUUUAAUAAUAAAAGCGCCCUUUAUUGAAAAAAACUCAGUCUAGAAAUAUCUAGCCGACCUUCAUGGAAAUCAUCUACUCCUAGUGAGUUCUCUAGAUCCCACCUAAUAAGCUCCCGAUUUUAAAAAAAAUUAAUGGGCUUUGUUCCUUCAACGGCACACCCGUCACCCGUGCCUAUACAGUAGCGAUCGACGGCAGCUGAUUUGUUUGCCCUCUCCACACCUGCGCCGACGACGCACUGCCGUGACACCCAGUGCACCUGCGCAGAAGCGCCACCAAAGCUCGCCGCCUAUAAAAAGCAGCGUCGCACCAUGCUAAUCCCAACUAAGCUCACGCAAACACAACUACACAACAACAUCUCCCCAGUGGUCAGCAGCUCAGAACACCCCAGACCAAGUUAGCAAUGGCGAAGCGCCUCGCCGUCGCCCUCCUGCUGCUGGUCCUGCUCGCGUCCAGCGACGCCGGUGCUGCUGCCCGUGCUGCUAUUGGCGUCGGCGAGAAGAAGGCUCUGGUGCCCGGGCUGCCGGUGGACCUCCCUCUCCCUGGCCUCCCCGGGCUGCCUGGGCUCCCUGGGCUCCCUGGGCUGCCGGGGCUCCCUGGGCUCCCUCCCGUUCCCAAAUUGACGGCCACCAACAAGUCUCCAUGAUCGUCUGUGGUGUACGUGCUGGCUAACAUGCAAGCUGAAGCUGAACUACUUGUGGGUUUAGACUUGCAGCUGUAGCACGUACCGGCCGGAAGAAAAUCACCGGCGCUUCGCUCAAGCGUCUGUACCAACUACUAUCUUUGUCGUGUGUAUUUCCGUUCAGUUAAACCAUCGUGUGUAUUUCCUUUCAGUUAAACUAUCGUAUGUAUUUCCUUUCAGUCCACGUAAGUAUGGUUGGUACAUGGGUCUACUUGUAUGAGGCUGAAGUCUUCAGCCUAUAUGCAUUAUUGCGAUACACAGAGCCAUACGAACAACUCAAAUGGAAGCAUGGGUCUUUGACGGCACACAUGUGCCUGGCUAUACCGUGGUGAUCGACGGCAGCUGCCGUCUCCUAACACGUACCCGCGCCGACGACGCGCUGCCGUGCCGCCCUGUGCACCUUCGUGCAAGUGACAUCAACCAAAACUCGCCUAUAAAAGGCAGCGUACACACGAUGCUAAGCCUAAGCUGACUCAAACGCAGCCACACAACACCAUCUCCUCAGUACAUCAGAGCCUCCCAGUUAGCAAUAUGGCAAAGUAUCUCGCCGUCGCGCUCCUGCUACUGGUGGUGCUCGCGUACUGCGACGGGAGGGAGCUGAACCAGAAGGACCAGGCACUCGCAACGGCACGCGGUGCUGGUGCGGGUGCUGGUGGUGGCGUCGGCGAGGAGAAGAUUUUGGGGUUGGCAGAGUUGCCGCUUGUGGGAACUGUUACCGGUACCAGCACAGUUACCGGUCCGGUGGUGGUGGUUCCUGCCCUUCCCGGGAUCCCUGCUCACCCAUGAUCAUCACCAGUUCAUAUGCUGUCUUACAAGAUGAAGCUGAACUAGUGGGUUUAUGACUUCUAGCUAGCACCGUCCGGAAGAUAAACACCGGUGUUUCGCUCAUUUUCACGUUCCUUCAUGAGCGUCUGUAUCAACUAUCCUAUCGUCUGUAUUUUCUUUCAGUUCAUGUUCUAGUAUUUUCCGUUCCUCUGUAUUUUCUUUCAGUUCAUGUUCUAGUAUGAUGUAUCGUCAACCUAAUAAAUACUACUUUGUCAUCAUGAGUACCUUCUUGGAUACAUAUAGCAGCUUGCAUCAUCGAUUUACUACUUCAUCACUUGAUCACAACGUCCAAACUCCUGAGUUUUUUUUUUGUUUUUUGUAUAAAGAGAGAGAGCUUCCUCUCUGAUUUUCAUUAAUAGAAACCACAGUAUCUUGUUAUACAAACUACUAAGGGCAAGCAGAAAUACUAGGAAACGACGACACAUGAUCUGAAGGAGCAAAAUGAGAUAUACCCAUCAGCCCCCAAAGACCACAAAGGCUAUAUCCGAAAGAACACCGAUAUCCUACAGCCCACCAUACUCUGGAGUUGUUCUGGUAAAAGAAAAU